GAUAAAGAAGGGGUAACUGAGUCUGGGUGCUUUGGGUACAUUUUACUUAUACUCUGUGUGUUUCCCACAGUCCCUGCUUCCUGAGGUUGUCGUGCUGGUAGGGGUCACAGGCCAGUCUGUGUGGCUCCAGUUGCUGAGGAUCUGCCGGGUGCUAAGAUCCCUCAAACUCUUUGCACGAUUCCGUCAAAUCCGAGUCAUUAUUUUGGCCCUGGUGAGGGCGCUCAAGAGCAUGACCUUCCUCUUGAUGUUGCUGCUCAUCUUCUUCUACAUUUUCGCUGUGACUGGCGUCUACUUCUUUGAGGACUACACCCGUUCAACUCGCCAGGACCUGGAGUACCACAUGUUCUUCUCAGAUGCCAGUCAACAAAGGGAAUCUUUGGACUUACCGAAAGCUUUUGAAGGGUCUAAACACAGUGCUGAUGAAGAGCAUUCAAGAGCAUCUGAACUGAAAAGAAAAAAAUCCUUGUCAAAAAGGAAAAAGUCCUCAUCUUCCUCCUCCUCCUCUUACUCUUCUUCCUCCUCGUCUUCAUCUUCUUUCUCUUCCUCUUCUUCUGACUCCAGAUAUUUAGGCUCCAUUGGUAAGCCGAGUUUCUUUCAUUUGAAUUCAGACUCCUCCAGGAGAUAUUCCAAUCUUAAUAGGAGCUCUCCCACUAUGUCUGCUUCCCGGUUUUCUCCACCAGUCUGAUUUUCUGGUCUUACUUGCUUACUUUGUGCUUUCUUUCGUUUCCCCUGUACUUCUGCUUCACUUUGGGUAAGUGUAGCUGUGGCUGUCUUUGUUUACUAUAAAAAGUGGUCUCUUGGUGUUAUUCCCUUUUCCCUCCCUGAUUCCUGUUUACUCUUGUAUCCCUGCUUUCCCCCCACACGACAGGAUCUAUUAGCUCUUACCCAACUUCCACAGAUCUAGACAUGUUUUUAAGAAGCAUUCCUCCCUCCAGGUGAGUUGGACUGGGAGACUCAUGUGCACCAGAAUCUGCCUGGGCUAAUGGAAAUGGAUCAGGAUGACCGUGUCGUUUGGCCUAGAGAUUAAAAAAUGCUAGAAAAGCUUCAGUAUAACCUAGAGGAGCGUAAGCGGUUGCAACAGUUUGCAGGUAUGGGGACCAGGGGUUAAGUACAUUGGAGUGCAUAUUGGAAUAGCAAGUAUAACUGGGGAGAAGGAGGAGGGUGUCCACUAUUUUGACAUUUUAGCCUCUGAAUUUCCACCUCAAACUUAAAAAGGCAAUUCCUUGGUUUGGUAUGUCACAUUCUUAAGUCCUGAUUUCUUAUAAUCUAGAGAGAACCUGAUGGCUUUGCUUCUCCAGUAGGGAAAACCUAAAUCCUAUGAGGUCUGAGAGCUUGUUUCCCAAGAAUAAAGUGUCCAAUUGCAGUUGUUGGGUGUUAGGA
rnacentral:lncRNA from 1 species